UUCCAUCGUAGCUUAAUAUACACUAAAGCGAGACACUGAAGAUGUCCUGAUGGAGACAUUACUCUCCCGAGAACA